UACGUAGGGAGCAAGCGUUGUCCGGAAUUAUUGGGCGUAAAGGGCUCGUAGGCGGUUUGUCGCGUCGGGAGUGAAAACUCAGGGCUUAACCCUGAGCCUGCUUCCGAUACGGGCAGACUAGAGGUAUGCAGGGGAGAACGGAAUUCCUGGUGUAGCGGUGAAAUGCGCAGAUAUCAGGAGGAACACCGGUGGCGAAGGCGGUGCUCUGGGCAUUACCUGACGCUGAGGAGCGAAAGUGUGGGGAGCGAACAGG
rnacentral:rRNA from 1 species